rnacentral:rRNA from 1 species
CCUACGGGGGGCAGCAGUAGGGAAUAUUGCUCAAUGGGGGAAACCCUGAAGCAGCAACGCCGCGUGGAGGAUGAAGGUUUUCGGAUUGUAAACUCCUUUUGUUAGAGAAGAUAAUGACGGUAUCUAACGAAUAAGCACCGGCUAACUCCGUGCCAGCAGCCGCGGGAAUACGGAGGGUGCAAGCGUUACUCGGAAUCACUGGGCGUAAAGAGCGCGUAGGCGGGAUAGCAAGUCAGAUGUGAAAUCCUAUGGCUUAACCAUAGAACUGCAGUUGAAACUGGUAUUCUAGAGUAUGGGAGAGGUAGGUGGAAUUCUUGGUGUAGGGGUAAAAUCCGUAGAGAUCAAGAGGAAUACUCAUUGCGAAGGCGACCUGCUAGAACAUAACUGACGCUGAUGCGCGAAAGCGUGGGGAGCAAACAGGAUUAGAUACCCUAGUAGUC